CAAAAACACAAAAACUUAACACUGAGCAAUGAACCUUGAAAAUGAGGUCAAGGUCAGAUGACACCUGCCAGCUAGACAUGUACACCUUACAAUCAUUCCAUACACCAAAUAUAGUUGAACUAUUGCAUAUAGUAUUAGAAAAAAAGACAAAAACUCAAAAACUUAACUUUGACCACUGAACCAUGAAAAUGAGGUCAAGGUCAGAUGACACCUGCCAGCUAGACAUGUACACCUUACAAUCAUUCCAUACACCAAAUAUAGAAGACCUAUUGCAUACAGUAUAAGAAAAAACAGACCAAAACACAAAAACUUAACUAUAACCACUGAACCAUGAAAAUGAGGUCAAGGUCAGAUGACACCUGCCAGCUAGACAUGUACACCUUACAAUCAUUCCAUACACCAAAUAUAGAAGACCUAUUGCAUACAGUAUAAGAAAAACAGACCAAAACACAAAAACUUAACUAUAACCACUGAACCAUGAAAAUGAGGUCAAGGUCAGAUGACACCUGCCAGUUGGACAUGUACACCUUACAGUCCUUCCAUACACCGAAUAUACUAGACCUAUUGCUUAUAGUAUCUGAGAUAUGGACUUGACCACGAAAACUUAACCUUGUUCACUGAUCCAUGAAAUGAGGUCGAGGUCAAGUGAAAACUGUCUGACGGGCAUGAGGACCUUGCAAGGUACGCACAUACCAAAUAUAGUUAUCCUAUUACUUAUAAUAAGAGAGAAUUUAACA